rnacentral:lncRNA from 1 species
AUUUCAGGUUCCUCCAGACCAGUUCUCACUUCAGCCCUUAAUUCAACUGCACGUUCAUCUCUCUACCUUCAAUUCAUAAAAGCAAUGCCAUGAGUUGGUUUAUCCACUCCAAUUGAGAAUCUCCCGAUAAAGAACUCAAGGAAAGCAUCAAGCUCAGCUUCAUACUGAAAUAGCAUUCCUGGCUUCGUUAAGGUAAAUACUUUUACCAACUAAUCUUUCAACAUGGCUGACAUUUCAAUGUCCACUCUAGCAGCAUCAACUUGGUUGACUCUUGUUAUCGAGAUUGGGAUCAUUGAUCGGAGAGGGAGGGAAACAGACGUCCAACGAGAGAACAGGUAGCGGGAAGUGAGAGUUCAUGCUUUGUUUCUGGUUAUUUGAUGUCGCGCAACUGCUGUUGAAGGAUUGUGGCAAGUGAUGCAGAGCCCUUCCUUGUGAGGUUUAGUUUCGACAAAUGGUUUUGCAGGUUAUCACGUCAUCGUUAUUGGCCUGCUAGUAUAGGGUUUAUGCAGGACUACUUCAUAGGCAAGAUGUUGUUGUUUGUAAUUUGAUGAUGGCUUAUUGGAUGUUACAGGUUUAUGCAAGGUUGUUGUUGGUAUGAUGCGGGCAUUUGAGGGGAAGCAUGGGGCUUGAAAUCAUCACAUGAGCAAUAAUGGCAUUACAGGGAGAGCUUGAACGCAAGGGAAUGGAACAGUUGGCGCAGUCGGGUUAUGAUGUACCAUGGUCUGCGGGGCCGGAACAACAAGGUUUGAUGUUAGGGUCGACAGAAUACCGCUGCAGGUUUGGCUGCUAGCGGAUUGUUGCAAGUCUGCUUGUACGGAUUUGGUCUAAGGAUGCUGGCGCGGGAAUGUCGCGACACGACUCACUGCCGCUGGAAAAUGAUAGUGAAGGCUUGGAGUGUCUCUCAAACCGGACACCGAAAUUCAUAAAGGGACUGAUUCUCCUGAUUAGAAAACAAACCCACUCGGUGCCGUCACUCAGGAGGUAACACCAAGUCACCAUUGGAUCCUCGUCUAACUGCUGAUGUGCCUUGUUGCAGUCCACCUGCACUAUCUUCCAUAUAG